rnacentral:rRNA from 1 species
GACGAACGCUGGCGGCGUGCCUAAUACAUGCAAGUAGAACGCACAGUUUAUACCGUAGCUUGCUCCACCAUAAACUGUGAGUUGCGAACGGGUGAGUCACGCGUAGGUAACCUGCCUGGUAGCGGGGGAUAACUAUUGGAAACGAUAGCUAAUACCGCAUAAUAUUGAUUAUUGCAUGAUAAUUGAUUGAAAGAUGCUAUUGCAUCACUACCAGAUGGACCUGCGUUGUAUUAGCUAGUAGGUGAGGUAACGGCUCACCUAGGCGACGAUACAUAGCCGACCUGGGAGGGUGAUCGGCCACACUGGGACUGAGACACGGCCCAGACUCCUACGGGAGGCAGCAGUAGGGAAUCUUCGGCAAUGGACGAAAGUCUGACCGAGCAACGCCGCGGGAGGGAAGAAGGUUUUCGGAUCGGAAAGCUCUGUUGUAAGAGAAGAACGGGUGUGAGAGUGGAAAGUUCACACUGUGACGGUAUCUUACCAGAAAGGGACGGCUAACUACGUG